rnacentral:rRNA from 1 species
CUUGGUCAUUUAGAGGAAGUAAAAGUCGUAACAAGGUUUCCGUAGGUGAACCUGCGGAAGGAUCAUUACUGAAGCAAUUGGGAGGGAUGUUGCUGGCCUCCCUUGGGGGGCAGCGUGCACUCCCUUUCCCUCAAGCAUUCACAUAAUUUCCACCACACAAAACCGUGCACUUAACUUGUAGGGAAUCUUAGAGGCAUCUUUGGGUCCUCUUUAGCUUCCCUAUGUUAUUUCAUGUCAUACGAGUUCUCUGAGGGGAUGUAUCUGUCAAAAAGUAAUCACAGAACAACUUUCAACAACGGAUCUCUUGGCUCUCGCAUCGAUGAAGAACGCAGCGAAAUGCGAUACGUAAUGUGAAUUGCAGAAUUCCGUGAAUCAUUGAAUCUUUGAACGCAUCUUGCGCCUCUUGGUAUUCCGAGGGGCAUGCCUGUUUGAGUGUCAUUAGAACUAUCAAAAAAAUAGAUGAUUUCAAUCGUUAAUUUUUUUGGAAUUGGAGGUGGUGCUGGUCUUUUUCCAUUAAUGGCCCAAGCUCCUCCGAAAUGCAUUAGCGAAUGCAGUGCACUUUUUCUCCUUGCUUUUUCUGGGCAUUGAUAGUUUACUCUCAUGCCCUAAGCUGGUANGGAGGAAGUCACAGAAUGCUUCCCGCUCCUGAAUGNAAUACAAAACUUGACGAUCAACCCUCAAUCAGGCAGGACUACCCGCUGAACUUAAGCAUAUCAUUAAGCGGAGGAAAAGAAACUAACAAGGAUUCCCUUAGUAACUGCGAGUGAAGCGGGAAGAGCUCAAAUUUAAAAUCUGGCAGCCUGAUGGGCUUGUCCGAGUUGUAAUCUAGAGAAGUGUCUUCCGCGCUGGGACCGUGUACAAGUCUCUUGGAAUGGAGCAUCAUGGAGGGUGAGAAUCCCGUCUCUGACACGGAAUUUACCGGUGCUUUUGUGAUGCACUCUCGAAGAGUCGAGUUGUUUGGGAAUGCAGCUCAAAAUGGGUGGUAAAUUCCAUCUAAAGCUAAAUACAGGCGAGAGACCGAUAGCGAACAAGUACCGUGAGGGAAAGAUGAAAAGGACUUUGAAAAGAGAGUUAAACAUUACGUGAAAUUGUUGAAAGGGAAACGAUUCAAGUCANUCGCAUUAGCCAGUAAUCAACCCUUGCAAUAACCUUGCUGGGCUUACUUUCUGGUUGAUGGGUCAGCAUCAAUUUUGACCAUCAGAGAAAGGCUUUGCGGGGAAUGUGACAUCUUCGGAUGUGUUAUAGCCCCAACUCGCAUGUGAUGGUUGGGAUUGAGGAACUCAGCACGGCCUUCACAGGUCCCAGGGCCGCCAGAAUGGCCCAUGUAACGUGCUUAGGAUGCUGGCAUAAUGGCUUGAACCGACCCGUCUUGAAACACGGACC